rnacentral:rRNA from 1 species
AUGGGUGCUAGUGCUAAUGUGAUACCUUAUGAUCUUUAUAAAGAAAUUAUGCACGAUAUUGCACCCGUUGAAUUAGAAGACAUUGAUGUUACUAUUAAGCUUGCUAAUAGGGAUACCAUUAAACCUAUUGGGAUUGUUAGAGAUGUUGAAGUCUUGUGUGGGAAGAUUAAAUACCCUGCUGAUUUUCUCGUUCUUGGUUCCCCACAAGAUGAUUUUUGUCCUAUUAUUUUUGGUAGACCCUUCUUGAAUACUGCUAGUGCUAAGAUUAAUUGUGAAAAGAAUAUUGUCACUGUUGGCAUAGAUGGUAUGUCUCAUGAGUUUAAUUUUGCUAAGUUUAGUAGACAACCUCAUGAAAGGGAACCAUCUAGUAAGGAUGAAAUUAUUGGUCUUGCUUCCAUUGCUGUUCCACCAACUGAUCCGUUAGAACAAUAUCUGCUAGACCAUGAAAAUGAUAUGUUCAUGAAGGAAACGGAAGAAAUAGAUGAAGUGUUUUUUAAACAAGAACCUAUGCUGAAACAUAACCUUCCCGUUGAAAUUCUUGGGGACCCCCCUGCACCCAAGGGUGAUCCCGUGUUUGAACUCAAACCAUUACCUGAUAAUCUUAAGUAUGCUUAUCUUGAUGAAAAAGAAACAUAUCCUGUUAUUAUUAGUGCUAACCUUUUCAGAGAAAGAAGAAGAAAGAUUAUUGAAAAACUCUGA